ACCCUACUACAAAGUGUAAAUAUAAAAAAUAUUGUUUAAUUUGUUAACAUUUAAUAGAAAAAUAUUAUUGUUAUAUUAAGUUGGUACAAGCGUACCAAUUAUUCAUUAAUUACAUAAGAAAAAUAUUCGUUUACAAAAUGCUUUGUAUUUUCAGAGUUUUUACAUAAAUUAUUCAAAAUACUAACGAAGUUUUUCUGUGUUUUAACGAACAUUUUUAUAUAUAAAAUGUAAACAAUAACAAACUCUGACAUCAGUGCGUACCAGUCAAGUGAAGAAAAAAUAGUCAGCUGAUUGAAUAGCACCACCUUAUCUGAAUUCGCCUUGAUUAUGACUAAAAUUUUAUUUUAUAAAUAGCCGUCGCUUAAUUUUUUCAAACAAGCCGCCGAAUUCCUCAUUAGCCGCCUCCGAAAAUUUUGUUUCGGCUUGUUUCUCUGACCCUCUUGUAGUGAAACAAAAAAUGUUCUUUAUCCAAAAUUUCUUCGAUAUUUUUUUUUCCAUUUAAAUCUGUGAACCAAUUUAAGUUGUCUGCAAUUAUGUGAUUAUUGGAGCAGCCAUCACAUUUUACAAUUACAACACCUUUUUCGUAAGCUAUUUUGGAGAUUGUUUUCAUAUUUCUUUUUGAACAAAUUUUACAGGUAUAAAUAAGUUGAAGUUUUUUAUUCAAUUUGCCAGUAGAAUCACAAUCUUCGGUACUUUUUAAACUCUGUAUAUUUUCUGGCACGCAAACUCUCUGUGCCAAAUUCCUAGCUGGAACCAACAAUGUACAAAAAUUGUGAUGCAAAAAAUGGUGUUGUAUCCUUACAUUUCCAAUUUUUAAUAUUCCAUUUCUUAGCAGCUUGCAGAUCAAAGACAUUAUAUUCCUUGUCAAAUACCAAAUUGUAUAUAUAAAUAAAUGUAUAAAUAAAUAAAUACACUUUGAACAAAUAUUCCCAACGAA